rnacentral:rRNA from 6 species
CUUGAAUGUCAAAACGACUCUCGGCAACGGAUAUCUCGGCUCUCGCAUCGAUGAAGAACGUAGCGAAAUGCGAUACUUGGUGUGAAUUGCAGAAUCCCGUGAACCAUCGAGUCUUUGAACGCAAGUUGCGCCCGAAGCCUUCGGGCCGAGGGCACGCCUGCCUGGGCGUCACGCAUCGC